rnacentral:rRNA from 1 species
GAUGAACGCUGGCGGCGUGCCUAACACAUGCAAGUCGAACGAAGCACUUCGAUUUCCUCGGAAUGAAAAAGUGACUGAGUGGCGGACGGGUGAGUAACGCGUGGGUAACCUGCCUCAUACAGGGGGAUAACAGUUAGAAAUGACUGCUAAUACCGCAUAAGCGCACAGUACCGCAUGGUACGGUGUGAAAAACUCCGGUGGUAUGAGAUGGACCCGCGUCUGAUUAGCUAGUUGGUGGGGUAACGGCCUACCAAGGCGACGAUCAGUAGCCGACCUGAGAGGGUGACCGGCCACAUUGGGACUGAGACACGGCCCAAACUCCUACGGGAGGCAGCAGUGGGGAAUAUUGCACAAUGGGCGAAAGCCUGAUGCAGCGACGCCGCGUGAGUGAAGAAGUAUUUCGGUAUGUAAAGCUCUAUCAGCAGGGAAGAAAAUGACGGUACCUGACUAAGAAGCACCGGCUAAAUACGUG